rnacentral:rRNA from 1 species
GGGUUUGACAUGUACGGUGGUACGAUAUGAAAGUUGAAGGACUCCGCUUUCGGGUGGAGAGCGUACACAGGUGCUGCAUGGCUGUCGUCAGCUCGUGUCGUGAGAUGUUGGGUUAAGUCCCCGCAACGAGCGCAACCCCUGCAUUCAGUUGCCAUCGGGUGAAGCCGGGCACUCUGGAAGGACUGCCAUCGACAAGAUGGAGGAAGGUGGGGACGACGUCAAGUCAUCAUGGCCCUUAUGUCCAGGGCGACACACGUGCUACAAUGGCCGGCACAACGGGAAGCGAGUUCGCGAGGACGAGCGGAUCCCUUAAAGCCGGUCGCAGUUCGGAUUGAAGUCUGCAACUCGACUUCAUGAAGCUGGAAUCGCUAGUAAUCGCAGAUCAGCCAAGUUGCGGUGAAUACGUUCCCGGGCCUU